rnacentral:rRNA from 1 species
GAUGAACGCUGGCGGCGUGCCUAAUACAUGCAAGUCGAGCGAACAGACGAGGAGCUUGCUCCUCUGACGUUAGCGGCGGACGGGUGAGUAACACGUGGAUAACCUACCUAUAAGACUGGGAUAACUUCGGGAAACCGGAGCUAAUACCGGAUAAUAUAUUGAACCGCAUGGUUCAAUAGUGAAAGACGGUUUUGCUGUCAAUUAUAGAUGGAUCCGCGCCGCAUUAGCUAGUUGGUAAGGUAACGGCUUACCAAGGCAACGAUGCGUAGCCGACCUGAGAGGGUGAUCGGCCACACUGGAACUGAGACACGGUCCAGACUCCUACGGGAGGCAGCAGUAGGGAAUCUUCCGCAAUGGGCGAAAGCCUGACGGAGCAACGCCGCGUGAGUGAUGAAGGUCUUCGGAUCGUAAAACUCUGUUAUUAGGGAAGAACAAAUGUGUAAGUAACUAUGCACGUCUUGACGGUACCUAAUCAGAAAGCCACGGCUAACUACGUG